CCUCUAUUUAACAUCCGUUUAGAAAAAUUUGAAAAUCAUCCUCGAGGAAUUAUCGCACCAGACUGAUGAACACAUAGUGAACAACUGCGUCUAAGGAAUAUAAAGAAGAAAGAAGACUUUUCUGUAUAAACCUCUUGAUAUAAGCAUGCUGUUCUAGUCUGCCACAAAGAGACCCCAGAAUCCAAAAUAUCCGAGCAGUGAUCAGGACAUUUGAAGUGUGCCCCCAGAGAGCAGAAGGAGUUUCUAGGCCAAAGAAAAAAUUAUUAAAACAAAAUAAAUUUUUCAUUUUAAAAA